UGCAAGUCGAACGAUGAUCCCAGCUUGCUGGGGGAUUAGUGGCGAACGGGUGAGUAACACGUGAGUAACCUGCCCUUGACUCUGGGAUAAGCCUGGGAAACUGGGUCUAAUACCGGAUACGACCAUCUGGCGCAUGUCAUGGUGGUGGAAAGCUUUUGUGGUUUUGGAUGGACUCGCGGCCUAUCAGCUUGUUGGUGGGGUAAUGGCCUACCAAGGCGACGACGGGUAGCCGGCCUGAGAGGGUGACCGGCCACACUGGGACUGAGACACGGCCCAGACUCCUACGGGAGGCAGCAGUGGGGAAUAUUGCACAAUGGGCGCAAGCCUGAUGCAGCGACGCCGCGUGAGGGAUGACGGCCUUCGGGUUGUAAACCUCUUUCAGUAGGGAAGAAGCGAAAGUGACGGUACCUGCAGAAGAAGCGCCGGCUAACUACGUGCCAGCAGCCGCGGUAAUACGUAGGGCGCAAGCGUUAUCCGGAAUUAUUGGGCGUAAAGAGCUCGUAGGCGGUUUGUCGCGUCUGCUGUGAAAGACCGGGGCUCAACUCCGGUUCUGCAGUGGGUACGGGCAGACUAGAGUGCAGUAGGGGAGACUGGAAUUCCUGGUGUAGCGGUGAAAUGCGCAGAUAUCAGGAGGAACACCGAUGGCGAAGGCAGGUCUCUGGGCUGUAACUGACGCUGAGGAGCGAAAGCAUGGGGGAGCGAACAGGAUUAGAUACCCUGGUAGUCCAUGCCGUAAACGUUGGGCACUAGGUGUGGGGGGACAUUCCACGUUUUCCGCGGCCGUAG
rnacentral:rRNA from 1 species